AACUGCGGACCGAUGCACCAGAAGCGGACGCUCGUUACGUUGAGGCCCCUAGUUUCACUAAUCGCAGCCAAUAGGGCCCAGCCGGAUGUACGAGAUCAAAUAGAUAUGUCUCUCUCUUGGGAAAAAACAACUUCACGAAAGGCCCGUCUACCUGCUUCUAGGAAGGCACGAGCCGCCGAUGGAUGGCGGAAGGCCACGGCGAGUCCGCUGUACUGCCCGCCGUCGCCGGAUGUUUCCCUGCUGCGGCGGCCUCAUUUGGUCAUCCCCAAAUAUAUUCCUAGAUAAGUAUUUCUUUCCAAUGCAAGGGAACCGAUGGCUUGAUCCACGGAGAGCGAAACGAGAUGCAAGUCAGGCCCGCCUGAAGGUGUCCUUUUUUUGGAUAGAAAGAAGGGUUCAGUGGGAGGGCAAGGGGUAGUUAAGUUUUAGGUUGGUUCUUGUUUUUUACGGACUUUCUUUUCGGUGUAAUUUAAUAAAGUAGUAGCAAUUGUUCAUUUCAUUUCAUUUUUUUUGCAUUGGUAGUUCUUUUUCACUUGAAAGGGCAAAGGGAGGUUACUCAGUGUUGGAACA